rnacentral:rRNA from 1 species
UACAGGGGGGGCAAGCGUUGUUCGGAAUUACUGGGCGUAAAGGGUCAGUAGGCGGCCAACUAAGUCCGACGUGAAAUCCCAAAGCUUAACUUUGGAACUGCGUCGGAUACUGGAUGGCUUGAAUUCGGGAGAGGGAUGCAGAAUUCCAGGUGUAGCGGUGAAAUGCGUAGAUAUCUGGAGGAAUACCGGUGGCGAAGGCGGCAUCCUGGACCGAGAUUGACGCUGAACGACGAAAGCUAGGGGAGCAAACGGG